GCGGCGCUGCGACGGGCCUGUGUUAUCUGUAAUUACUCCUCUCUGCAGAGAGGGAAAGAACUUCUUUCCGUGGGGGUGGCAGAGCACUGGGACAGGCUGCCCAGGGACAGCGUGGGGUCUCUCUCUCUGGACACAUUCAAACCCCACCUGGACACGUUCCUGAGUCACCUGCUCCCGGUGACCUUGCCUUGGCCGGGGCGUGGGACUGAGCCAUCUCCAGAAGCCGCUUCCAGCCCUAACUGCUCUGUGAUUGCGUGAUUGAACGCGAUUUGAAUUUUAAAUUGGUGGGUGCCCUGAGGAAGCCUUACUCCUUCCACUGUGGAAAACCCUGUCCCUGGAGGCUCACCCUGAUUUGGGGAAGCGCGGGCUUCCCAAGGGAUCACAUCGAACAGACCACCACGAGUUCUAAUGGCGCAUCAGACUCCAGCUCUAACAGCACGGUAGCCACCCCAUUAUGAGGUGGACCCCCUGAAUGGCAGGCAAUGACAGUGCAGUAGCAGUUUAAGGUACUGGCUUGUCUGGAGCUAAGCCACAUACGCUUUUACACUUCAGAUCUUAACCAUUGCUUCCCUUUUAACCAUCGGUCACGUCAUCCUAAGCACUAGCAUCAAAUGCACCCAGAUGUUGGCAUCUCUGUGUUCAAGGUGCAGGCACUUCAUCAGCAGCUUGGUCUCUAAGUACUUGUGAAAUACUGC